UCUGAGGUCAACCAAGUGGAAGAAAGCAGUCCUUGUAAUAUUUGUAAUGUGGAGGUCCAAGGACAAUGUAGGAUCAAAAAUUACCCCAAGGUUCCUCACUUCAUCAGUGUGAUGUAGGACACAUGAGCUUAGGCUGAGCGUUAACUGGUCAAAUUGAUGCCGAUGUCUCACUGGACCAAGAACCAUCAUUUCAGUCUUAUCAGAGUUUAAAAGUGGG